rnacentral:rRNA from 1 species
UACAGAGGUCUCAAGCGUUGUUCGGAUUCAUUGGGCGUAAAGGGUGCGUAGGCGGCGCGGUAAGUCGGGUGUGAAAUCUCGGAGCUUAACUCCGAAACUGCAUUCGAUACUGCCGUGCUUGAGGACUGGAGAGGAGACUGGAAUUUACGGUGUAGCAGUGAAAUGCGUAGAUAUCGUAAGGAAGACCAGUGGCGAAGGCGGGUCUCUGAACAGUUCCUGACACUGAGGCACGAAGGCCAGGGGAGCAAACGGG